rnacentral:lncRNA from 1 species
UGAAAGCAGGUGCAGGUAAAGUCAUCAUCAUCAUUUCAUCAGUGCACAUGUGCAUGAUAGUAACAUAUGGGAUUAGCAUCCAGGUCUCCAAUGGGGGAUUCAUCAGUGAUCAGUCAGCAAGAGGAAGAUCUGUCAUUGAGGAGAUAGGACUUAUUGGGUUCCCUACCCACUUUUGCCAUCACUAUGGACACACAAGCAGGUGUACCUACGUAAUAUACUGUAGGCUUAUUGAUAAAUCCUUUAGGGUUAAACUGUUGCCUGUAUUAUUUAUUUAUUUAUUUAUUUAUGUAUACCUUAUAGUCACUGUUGAAUAUUUAUAAACUAAACACAAAUUACAAACUCAUUCAAUAAAUUAAUGAAUCCAACAUCAACUCAAAGAAAGUGGUCAUGAUCGAAAGAUAAUUCAACACCUUGUGUUCAACUCCUACAAAGUGACGUUUACAAGCCACCCCCCUCCUGCAUGAGGUGCGCGAGCCCCGCCCCCCCUCCGCAUGAGGUGCGUGAGCUGCAUGCUGCAGACAAACAGCAGUGAAAUGCCAUGAGGAGUGGCCUUUAAGAUGAUAUGGCUGGCAAUGAAGCGAUAAUGGAGAAAUCUGUGAGGAGAAGACGGGUCCGUCCUCAACAGGAUGCCGAACAACACAUUAAACUGAAAAUGACAAGGCUGGUCUCACAGAGCAUUUUAUCAACCCAUACAAAGCAGCAAUUGGCACCUGAUGUUAGCCAGCCAAGUGUCGAAGAAACCAACAGACCUCAGCAGCAAUUGGCACCUGAUGUUAGCAAGCCAAUUGUCGAAGCAAGCGAAAGACCUCAGACAACAGAGGUAACUCCAAACGUAAGUGGGAAGACAGUGAGGUGCUUGCAGUUGAAAGACACAUGAUGCGCUUCAUCCACACAUGCAAGGUACCUCAAAAGAUUGACUGCAUUCCGUGCAUCAAUGCAGAACCGAAUCUGGACUGGAGUGAAAAAUUAUGUUCGAAAUUGGAUCACUGCCUUAAAGAGAAAGGCUUGUUUACAGGACUCACAAUAGCUAUUUCUUGAAGUAUACCUGUGUGAAGUAUGUCUGUUAUCUUAUUCUAGAGGCUAAUGUUAAGUUUGUUUGUGCCUAAAGCCCCCUUUUUUUUAUAUUGCCAAAAUUCUUGGUUGUAGUUUAGAGCACAACCUGCUAUUAUCAUGUUGCUGGCGAGCCCAAGAAAUUAUUUCUCUAGUCAAGUAUGUUAACUGACUGCUGUCCAGAUGCAUUCAUUUGAAAGCUAGCCAAGUUUGUGGCGACCUGUAAUUUUCAAGGACAUUGCAUUUGAGCUGUGUGGCACUGUACAUGAUGUCCAUUAUGUUACUAAAACAUAAGUUAACAGCAAACGCAUGUCUGUUUGGUGUAUUUUUAUUUCAUGCAGAUUUUCAUUGUGGUGCUACUAUGACAUAUUCAGUCUACCUCUUAAUCUGCAUUAUUCCAUGGUCUGGGUGAGUACUGUUUUCUGAUUGGCCGACAGGUGUGUGUCAAUUAAGAAAUAGCUCACGACAGGCCGUGGUAUGUUGGGAUUAUAUCACAACUAAAGGGCGAUGUUUGGCCCAACGAGACCAGUGUUACACGAUCAAAGAUUGAAUUUUAUAUUUCAUCACAACAUGCUCUCCUUAAUAAACAUAGCUGAAAGUGCAUGCAGAUAAUGACAUUAUAUGAGUCUUGUCCCCAAAGGAAAGUGAGGCACCCAAAGGUGACUUUUAUCAGUCUGUGUAUUUGUGUAUAGCUGAAGACCCACAUUAAAAUUAUUCGUCCCCAAUAUCAAGGUAAAAAUUCUGUAUGGACAAAAGUUGUUUAAAACGAAAAUCUCAAGUUAUUUUCAUAAUCUGGAGACUCCCAGUAAUAUAUUCCACUUGCCAGCAUCUCUCUAAACCAUUCAGAAAGUGGUGUCCUCUAAGGGGGGGUGUUGAAAUGUGCGCCCCCAAAGAGGACAUAAGUAAGUAGGUGUGUGUGUGUGUGUGUGUGUGUGUUUUAUAGGCCUACAGUAAUAUCUUACCUCAAUGGGAUGUUAUGACACUAAAAAUGACAAGAAAGAUAUUGGAGAAAAUAAAUCAAAUUGUUGAUGAUACAGUUUACAGUGGUAUUACAGUCACUGUGCAGUGAUGCAUUAGAAUUGCGGUAAAGUUACUGUAAGUAAAACUACAAUACAAUUACAUUGGUAACUCAUUCUUUAAGAAAUACAUACAUUAUGAAUGGUAAUACAGAGUUGUCCUUUGAAUUGUAUGUCUAGGAUUGGACGACAACCUCGCACGGGUGGCAGAGGAAAACUCAAUGACCAAUAAGAGCAAUAUAUCUGUCUCAGUGUGAUGGCAAAUAAUGCCACCAUUUGAGAUGAACUCUGAUAGAGUGAAAGAGCUGCGGUACCAGUAUGUACAUGUAAGUCAGUUACUGGUUGUCUAUCAUUAUAACCUUUUUACAAUUAAGCAGUGGUUCCCAAACAUUUUUGGCUUCAGUACCCCCUUUACCUGAUGUCUGAAUCCAAGAAUUUGCUUUAUCUGACUUCAACAUUUUGCCUAAAAACUGCAACACAAAACUGCAGCUUAUCAUUAUAAACCUUAUUUUGAAGAAUAUAAGAUACGGUAAGAAAAGGGGUCAAGGAGCUGCAAUUAGUGUCUCCCAAGCAGAUCUAUCUAAUACUGUGGGUUUUACUGUAACAUUUCAGUAUGUCAUUGAUGAUUUCCCCCUCCCCUUUGUCUCAAUAUACGCUAUGAUGUGGACGAGAAUCUGUGGCCAGACAGACAGCAACAUGUGGACGGCCAGGAGGGUGAGGAUGGUGGCCAGGAGAGGGAGGGUGAGGACAGUGACCAGCGAAGAAAUGUUUUGAAUCUCCAGCUUUAUUGACAGCACGGGUGAGGAUGGUGGCCAGGAGAGGGAGGGUGAGGACAGUGACCAGCGAAGAAAUGUUUUGAAUCUCCAGCUUUAUUGACAGCACUGUAGGCUACAUAUCAUUUUCCUUGUUUUUUGUUUAUGUGUUUAUAUUACAGUAUAUUGUGCUGUAUACAUUUUCUUUUAACUCUGAUGUAUGGAAGUUACUUUAUGUGUGUAAAUUAAAAUGGUUACAAU